UCACAGUUUCAGGGCGGGGUGCAAUUCCCCACUGGCGGUAAGGCGCUUUGCCAAGCCCGCGCGCCGAAAAGAUCGGCUGAUCUGGUGCAAAUCCAGAGCCAACGGUAUAGUCCGGAUGGAAGAAACGGAGC
rfam:Atopobium minutum 10063974 genomic scaffold acnkJ-supercont1.1, whole genome shotgun sequence.